UACGUAGGUGGCAAGCGUUUGUCCGGAUUUACUGGGCGUAAAGAGCGCGCAGGCGGUCGUUCAAGUCGCGUGUGAAAGCCCCCGGCUCAACCCAGGAACUGCGUCCGAUACUGGUUGGCUUGAAUCCGGGAGAGGGAUGUGGAAUUCCAGGUGUAGCGGUGAAAUGCGUAGAUAUCUGGAGGAACACCGGUGCGAAGGCGACAUCCUGGACCGGUAGUUGACGCU
rnacentral:rRNA from 1 species